rnacentral:rRNA from 1 species
UACGGAGGGUGCGAGCGUUAAUCGGAAUUACUGGGCGUAAAGGGCACGCAGGCGGUUUUUUAAGUCAGAUGUGAAAUCCCCGGGCUUAACCUGGGAACUGCAUCUGAGACUGGGAAGCUUGAGUCCUGUAGAGGGGGGUAGAAUUCCAGGUGUAGCGGUGAAAUGCGUAGAGAUCUGGAGGAAUACCGGAGGCGAAGGCGGCCCCCUGGACGUAGACUGACGCUCAGGUGCGAAAGCGUGGGGAGCAAACAGG